rnacentral:antisense_RNA from 1 species
UGUGGGAGCUGGCUUGCCUGCGAUGGCGGUGGGUCAUAACUAAUAAGUUGGUUGGCAGCCCGCCAUCGCAGGCAAGCCAGCUCCCACA